rnacentral:tRNA from 1 species
GCCGAAGUGGUGGAACUGGUAGACACGCGGGCUUGAGGGGUCCGUGAGGGAAACCUCGUGCCGGUUCGAGUCCGGCCUUCGGCA